rnacentral:rRNA from 1 species
UACAGAGGGUGCUAGCGUUGUUCGGAAUCAUUGGGCGUAAAGGGCGUGUAGGCGGUUUGUUAAGUCAUGUGUGAAAUCCCUCGGCUCAACCGGGGAACGACGCAUGAAACUGGCAAGCUAGAGUACCAAAGAGGGGGGUGGAAUUCCCGGUGUAGCGGUGAAAUGCGUAGAUAUCAAGAGGAACACCUGAGGUGAAGACGGGUUGCUGGGCUGACACUGACGCUGAAGCGCGAAAGCUAGGGGAGCAAACGGG